ACUGCUCAGUAACACGUGGAUAACCUGCCCUUGGGUCCGGGAUAACCCCGGGAAACUGGGACUAAUACCGGAUAGAUCAAAGAUACUGGAAUGUUCUCUGGUCCAAAACUCCGGUGCCCAAGGAUGGGUCUGCGGCCUAUCAGGUUGUAGUGGGUGUAACGUACCUACUAGCCUACGACGGGUAAGGGUUGUGAGAGCAAGAUCCCUGAGAUGGAUUCUGAGACAUGAAUCCAGGCCCUACGGGGUGCAGCAGGCGCGAAACCUUUACACUGCGGGAAACCGCGAUAAGGGGACCCCGAGUGCCAGCACCUAGUGCUGGCUGUCCAGCUGUCCAAAUAACAGUUGUUAGCAAGGGCCGGGCAAGACCGGUGCCAGCCGCCGCGGUAACACCGGCGGCCCGAGUGGUAGCCGCUAUUAUUGGGUUUAAAGGGCCCGUAGCCGGCCUAUUAAGUCUCUUGGGAAAUCUGGCGGCUUAAUCGUCAGGCGUCCAAGAGAUACUGGUAGGCUUGGGACCGGGAGAGGUGGGAGGUACUCCAGGGGUAGGGGUGAAAUCUCGUAAUCCUUGGGGGACCACCGAUGGCGAAGGCAUCCCACCAGAACGGGUCCGACGGUGAGGGACGAAAGCUGGGGGCACGAACCGGAUUAGAUACCCGGGUAGUCCCAGCUGUAAACGAUGCUCGCUAGGUGUCAGGUGCGGUGCGACCGCAUCUGGUGCCGCAGUGAAAACUUGAAGCGAGUCACCUGGGAAGUACGGUCGCAAGGCUGAAACUUAAAGGAAUUGGCGGGGGAGCAC
rnacentral:rRNA from 1 species